AAUGAACGCUGGCGGCGUGCCUAAUACAUGCAAGUCGAGCGAACACACAAGAAACUUGGUCCUCUGACUGACGAGCCGGACAGGGGAGAAACACGUGUAUAACCCAGCCAGAUGAAUGGGAUAACUUCCUGAAACCGGAACUUAUACCGGAUAAUAUACUGAACAGCAUGGAUCAAUACCGUCAGACCGCUUGGCUGCCAAUUAUACAUGAAUCCACUACGCAUUAGCUAGUUGAGUGGGUCACCUAUUACACAAGCCCCAACGCGUAUGAGACCAUGAACGGUGAUCUGCCACUCUGGAACUGAUACACACUCCUAACUCCUACAGGAGGCAGCAGUAUUCAAUCUUCCGCACUGCGCUGAUGCCUGACUGCAGCAACGCCCGCAUGAGUGAUUAANGUCUUCAGAUCCUUUCACUCUGGUAUUAAGUGAGAACAAUUGUGUCAGUCACUAUGCACGUCUUGACGGUAACUAAUCACAAAGUCACUCGCUAACUACGUGCCACCAUACUACGGUAAUACGUAAGCGGUCAGCGUUAUCCUGAAAUAUUGAGCCCUACACCGCGCGUAUGCGGAUUUUUAAGUCUGAUGUGAAAUCCCCCGGCUCAACCUGGGAGGUGCAUUGGAAACUGGAAAACUUGAGUGUCGAAGAGGAGGGUGGAAUUCCAUGUGUAGCGGUGAAAUGCGCAGAGAUAUGGAGGAACACCGGUGGCGAAGGCGACUUUCUGGACUGUAACUGACGCUGAUGUGCGAAAGCGUGGGGAUCAAACAGGAUUAGAUACCCUGGUAGUCCACGCCGUAAACGAUGACUGCUAGGAGGUAGGGGGCUUCCGCCCCGUAUUGCUGAGCCUAACGCAUUAAUCACUCCGCCGGGGGAGUACGACCGCAAGGUUGAAACUCAAUGGAUUUGACGGGGACCCCCACAACCGGGGGAGCAUGUGGUUUAAUUCAUACCAACGCGAAAAACCUUACCACAUCUUGACUUCCUCUGACUCCUCUAAAAAUAAAGGUUUCCCCUUCGGGGAACUGAGAGACAGGUGGUGCAUGGUUGUCGUCAGCUCGUGUCGUGAGAUGUUGGGUUAAGUCCCGCAACGAGCGCAACCCUUAUGCUUAGUUGCCAUCGGUUAGUCGGGCACUUUAAGGGGGCUGCCCGGGGCUAACCGGAGGAAGGUGGGGGAGACGUCCAAUCAUCCUUCCCCUUAUGGUGUGGGGUACCCCCGUGGUUCCAUGGGCAAAUCCAAGGGCAGGGGACCUGCGGGGUCCAACAAGUCCUAUAAAGUUGUUUUCAGUUCGGGAUGUGGUUUGCAACUUGGCUUUCAGAAGGUGGGAUUGGUUGUUAUUGUAGAUCCGCAAGGUUCGGGGGAUAAAAUUCCCGGGUCU
rnacentral:rRNA from 1 species